GACGAACGCUGGCGGCGUGCUUAACACAUGCAAGUCGAACGGAAAGGCCCUGCUUUUGUGGGGUGCUCGAGUGGCGAACGGGUGAGUAACACGUGAGUAACCUGCCCUUGACUUUGGGAUAACUUCAGGAAACUGGGGCUAAUACCGGAUAGGAGCUCCUGCUGCAUGGUGGGGGUUGGAAAGUUUCGGCGGUUGGGGAUGGACUCGCGGCUUAUCAGCUUGUUGGUGGGGUAGUGGCUUACCAAGGCUUUGACGGGUAGCCGGCCUGAGAGGGUGACCGGCCACAUUGGGACUGAGAUACGGCCCAGACUGCUACGGGAGGCAGCAGUGGGGAAUAUUGCACAAUGGGCGGAAGCCGGAUGCAGCAACGCCGCGUGCGGGAUGACGGCCUUCGGGUUGUAAACCGCUUUCGCCUGUGACGAAGCGUGAGUGACGGUAAUGGGGAAAGAAACACCGGCUAACUACGU
rnacentral:rRNA from 1 species